GAUGAACGCUGGCGGCGUGCCUAAUACAUGCAAGUCGAGCGAAUGGAUUAAGAGCUUGCUCUUAUGAAGUUAGCGGCGGACGGGUGAGUAACACGUGGGUAACCUGCCCAUAAGACUGGGAUAACUCCGGGAAACCGGGGCUAAUACCGGAUAACAUUUUGAACCGCAUGGUUCGAAAUUGAAAGGCGGCUUCGGCUGUCACUUAUGGAUGGACCCGCGUCGCAUUAGCUAGUUGGUGAGGUAACGGCUUACCAAGGCAACGAUGCGUAGCCGACCUGAGAGGAGGAUCGGCCACACUGGGACUGAGACACGGCCCAGACUCCUACGGGAGGCAGCAGUAGGGAAUCUUCCGCAAUGGACGAAAGUCUGACGGAGCAACGCCACGUGAGUGAUGAAGGCUUUCGGGUCGUAAAACUCUGUUGUUAGGGAAGAACAAGUGCUAGUUGAAUAAGCUGGCACCUUGACGGUACCUAACCAGAAAGCCACGGCUAACUACGUGCCAGCAGCCGCGUAA
rnacentral:rRNA from 1 species